rnacentral:rRNA from 1 species
GCGGAGGGAUCAUUACCGAGUUUACAACUCCCAAACCCAAUGUGAACGUUACCAAACUGUUGCCUCGGCGGGAUCUCUGCCCCGGGUGCGUCGCAGCCCCGGACCAAGGCGCCCGCCGGAGGACCAACCAAAACUCUUAUUGUAUACCCCCUCGCGGGUUUUUUUAUAAUCUGAGCCUUCUCGGCGCCUCUCGUAGGCGUUUCGAAAAUGAAUCAAAACUUUCAACAACGGAUCUCUUGGUUCUGGCAUCGAUGAAGAACGCAGCGAAAUGCGAUAAGUAAUGUGAAUUGCAGAAUUCAGUGAAUCAUCGAAUCUUUGAACGCACAUUGCGCCCGCCAGUAUUCUGGCGGGCAUGCCUGUCCGAGCGUCAUUUCAACCCUCGAACCCCUCCGGGGGGUCGGCGUUGGGGAUCGGCCCUCCCUUAGCGGGUGGCCGUCUCCGAAAUACAGUGGCGGUCUCGCCGCAGCCUCUCCUGCGCAGUAGUUUGCACACUCGCAUCGGGAGCGCGGCGCGUCCACAGCCGUUAAACACCCAACUUCUGAAAUGUUGACCUCGGAUCAGGUAGGAAU